CCUGCAUUACAGGUUUAGGGACGUCUUGGCAUCUAAGUGCAGAAUUUGAAGCAAAUGUGACAUCAACCCUCUAGACCGAUGAGAGAAACAACACUGAACUUAAAUUUCGGAUAUAACCCUGAACAUUUGUCAUCAAUCACAUGACAUGCUGCUCACCACUAGAGGAAGACCCCUAUUGAAUUUGGCUUUGAUUCCUCUAAGUAACUGACCAGACACUAGAAGGUCCAGGUGCUGAUAAACUACACAAGAUCAAGUCCUGGUGUACUACACCCUACAGUGUUUCUGGCGGCUGGUGGAGCGAUUAAAGAAAAGCCAUGCUAAUGUUGCAAUGAUAUGUAUGCUAAACAAAAUAAAUAAAUUUAAAAAAAAA